GUAGGGAAUAUUGCACAAUGGAGGAAACUCUGAUGCAGCGACGCCGCGUGAGUGAUGAAGGCCUUCGGGUCGUAAAGCUCUGUCGCAGGGGAAUAACACAAUGAAGGUACCCUGUAAGAAAGGAUCGGCUAACUUCGUGCCAGCAGCCGCGGUAAGACGAGGGGUCCUAGCGUUGUUCGGAAUCAUUGGGCGUAAAGCGGAUGUAGGUGGCUAUGUAAGUCAGAUGUGAAAGCCUGGGGCUCAACCCCAGAAGUGCAUUUGAUACUGCGUAGCUUGAGUGUCGGAGAGGUUACUAGAAUUGUUGGUGUAGUGGUGAAAUACGUAGAUAUCAACAGGAAUACCGGAGGCGAAGGCGGGUAACUGGCCGAACACUGACACUGAGAUCCGAAAGCGUGGGGAUCAAACAGGAUUAGAAACCCCAGUAGUCC
rnacentral:rRNA from 1 species